GAUGAACGCUGGCGGCGUGCCUAAUACAUGCAAGUCGAGCGAACAGACGAGGAGCUUGCUCCUCUGACGUUAGCGGCGGACGGGUGAGUAACACGUGGAUAACCUACCUAUAAGACUGGGAUAACUUCGGGAAACCGGAGCUAAUACCGGAUAAUAUAUUGAACCGCAUGGUUCAAUAGUGAAAGACGGCUUUGCUGUCACUUAUAGAUGGAUCCGCGCCGCAUUAGCUAGUUGGUAAGGUAACGGCUUACCAAGGCAACGAUGCGUAGCCGACCUGAGAGGGUGAUCGGCCACACUGGAACCGAGACACGGUCCAGACUCCUACGGGAGGCAGCAGUAGGGAAUCUUCCGCAAUGGGCGAAAGCCUGACGGAGCAACGCCGCGUGAGUGAUGAAGGUCUUCGGAUCGUAAAACUCUGUUAUUAGGGAAGAACAAAUGUGUAAGUAACUAUGCACGUCUUGACGGUACCUAAUCAGAAAGCCACGGCUAACUACGUG
rnacentral:rRNA from 1 species